rnacentral:rRNA from 1 species
UAGAGAAUCCUAAGGCCGGCGGAAGAAUUGCAGUUAAGGAACUAGGCAAAUUGACCCCGUAAGUUAGCGAGAAGGGGUGCCUACGAGAGUAGGCCGCAGAGAAUAGGCCCAAGCAACUGUUUAGCAAAAACACAGGUCUCUGCUAAAGCGCAAGCUGAUGUAUAGGGGCUGACGCCUGCCCGGUGCUGGAAGGUUAAGGGGAACACUUAGCGCAAGCGAAGGUGUGAACUUAAGCCCCAGUAAACGGCGGCCGUAACAAUAACGGUCCUAAGGUAGCGAAAUUCCUUGUCAGGUAAGUUCUGACCCGCACGAAUGGCGUAAUGACUUGGGCACUGUCUCAACUGCAAAUCCGGCGAAGUUGUAGUGCGAGUGAAGAUGCUCGCUACCCGCGAUUGGACGGAAAGACCCCGGAGAGCUUUACUGUAGCUUAGCAUUGAAUUCCGGUAUUGUCUGUACAGGAUAGGUGGGAGACUGGGAAACUAGGGCGUCAGCCUUAGUGGAGUCAUCCUUGGGAUACCACCCUGACAGUACUGGGGUUCUAACAGGAUGCCAUGAAUCUGGUGACUGGACAUUGUUAGGUGGGCAGUUUGACUGGGGCGGUCGCCUCCUAAAAAGUAACGGAGGCGCCCAAAGGUUCCCUCAGGACGGUCGGAAAUCGUUCGUAGAGUGCAAAGGCAGAAGGGAGCCUGACUGCGAGACCUACAAGUCGAGCAGGGACGAAAGUCGGGCUUAGUGAUCCGGUGGUACCUCGUGGGAGGGCCAUCGCUCAACGGAUAAGAGCUACCUCGGGGAUAACAGGCUGAUCUCCCCCAAGAGUCCACAUCGACGGGGAGGUUUGGCACCUCGAUGUCGGCUCGUCGCAUCCUGGGGCUGUAGUAGGUCCCAAGGGUUGGGCUGUUCGCCCAUUAAAGCGGCACGCGAGCUGGGUUCAGAACGUCGUGAGACAGUUCGGUCCCUAUCCGUCGCGGGCGUAGGAAAUUUGAGAGGAGCUGUCCUUAGUACGAGAGGACCGGGAUGGACUGACCUCUGGUGCACCAGUUGUUCUGCCAAGAGCAUGGCUGGGUAGCUAAGUCGGGAAGGGAUAAACGCUGAAAGCAUCUAAGCGUGAAGCCUCCCUCAAGAUGAGAUUUCCCAUAGUCGAAAGACUAGUAAGACCCCUUGAAGAACACGAGGUUGAUAGGUCAGAGGUGUAAGUGUGGUAACAUAUUUAGCUGACUGAUACUAAUAGGUCGAGGGCUUGAUC